UACGUAGGGUGCGAGCGUUAAUCGGAAUUACUGGGCGUAAAGCGUGCGCAGGCGGUUUUGUAAGACAGAUGUGAAAUCCCCGGGCUUAACCUGGGUACUGCGUUUGUGACUGCAAGGCUAGAGUACGGCAGAGGGGGUGGAAUUCCUGGUGUAGCAGUGAAAUGCGUAGAUAUCAGGAGGAACACCGAUGGCGAAGGCAGCCCCCUGGGCCUGUACUGACGCUCAUGCACGAAAGCGUGGGGAGCAAACAGG
rnacentral:rRNA from 1 species